CACCAGGAGCCCCCAGGUUUGGGGGUGUCCCCCCCACUUGGGGGUCACCAGGACCCCCCAGGUUUGGGGGUCUCCCCCUUGCCCGGGUGGGUCCCUCUUGGGGGUCCCCAGGGUUUCCCCCCCCCCAUUUUGGGGCCAAUUGUGACUUUUCGGAGCCCCGAAUUAAUCGGAUUUUGUCCGAGCCUGGGGAGGGAACACGCUCAGGGACAAUGGGGGGGCACCAGCUGUCCCUGUCACCUGUCCGUGUGUCCCCGUCACCUGUCCGUGUGUCCCUGUCACCUGUCCGUGUGUCCGUGUCACCUGUGUGUCCAUGUCACCUGUCUGUGUGUCUGUCAGUGUCACCUGUCUGUGUGUCCCUGUCACCUGUCUGUGUGUCCCUGUCACUUGUCCGUGUGUCCCUGUCACCUGUUCGUGUGUCCGUGUCACCUGUGUCUGUGUCACCUGUCCGUGUGUCCAUGUCACCUGUCCAUGUGUCCAUGUCACCUGUCUGUGUGUCUGUCUGUCAGUGUCACCUGUCCGUGUGUCCGUGUCACCUGUCUGUGUCUGUGUCACCUGUGUGUCCAUGUCACCUGUCUGUGUGUCUGUCCAUGUCACCUGUCCGUGUGUCUGUCCCUGUCACCUGUCUGUCUGUGUCACCUGUCCGUGUGUCCAUGUCACCUGUCCGUGUGUCCCUGUCACCUAUCUGUGUGUCCGUGUCACCUGUCCGUGUGUCUGUGCCACCUGUCUGUGUGUCCCUGUCAUCUGUCCCUGUGUCCGUGUGUCUGCGCCACCUGUCUGUGUGUCCGUGUGUCCCUGUCACCUGUCUGUGUAUCCCUGUCACCUGUCUGUGUGUCCGUGUCACCUGUCCAUGUGUCUGUCCCUGUCACUUGUCUGUGUCACCUGUCCGUGUGUCCGUGUCACCUGUCUGUGUGUCCGUGUCACCUGUCCAUGUGUCUGUGCCACCUGUGUGUCCGUGUCACCUGUCCGUGUGUCUGUGUCACCUGUCUGUGUGUCCCUGUCAUCUGUCCCUGUGUCCGUGUGUCUGUGUCACCUGUCUGUGUGUCGGUGUGUCCGUGUCACCUGUCCGUGUGUCUGUCCCUGUCACUUGUCUGUGUCACCUGUCCGUGUGUUCCUGUCACCUGUCCAUGUGUCUGUGCCACCUGUGUGUCCGUGCCACCUGUCCAUGUGUCUGUGUCACCUGUCCAUGUCCAGCUGUCCCUGUCCCAUGUCCCACAUUGUGUCUGUCCCUGUCCCAUCCCUGUCCCUGUCCCCACAUGUCCCCGAUGUCCCCACAGCGCCGUUGUCACCGUUCGUUGUCACCGUUUGUUGUCACCGUUCGCUGUCACCGCUGUCACCGUCCCCACCAGGACACCGGCGGCGGUGGCAGGGGGUGACGCUGUCACCACCCGACCUGGUGCCACCCCCCUGGGGUGUGACAGUGACACCGGUGACACCUCCGGGCUGCCAGGAGCAGCAG
rnacentral:lncRNA from 1 species